rnacentral:pre_miRNA from 1 species
CAGUGUGUGAUAAAGUGCUUACAGUGCAGGUAGUGAUGAUUACCUGGUCUACUGCAGUGUGAGCACUUCUUUCCCACACCG